GAUGAAGAACGUAGCGAAAUGCGAAAAGUAAUGUGAAUUGCAGAAUUCAGUGAACCAUCGAAUCUUUGAACGCACAUUGCGCCCGCUGGAACUCCGGCGGGCACGCCUGUCCGAGCGUCAUUUCAACCCUCAGGCCCCCCUUCGCGGGCGGGCCUGGUGUUGGGGCCCGGCCGCUACCCUGCGGCCGUCCCCUAAAUUCAGUGGCGGCCUCGCCGUGAUCCCUUGCGUAGUAAUGCACCUCGCACCGGAGAGCGCCGUGGCCACGCCGUAAAACACCCAACUUCUGAAUGUUGACCUCGAAUCAGGUAGGAAUACCCGCUGAACUUAAGCAUAUCAAUAAGCGGAGGA
rnacentral:misc_RNA from 1 species